rfam:Lingula anatina scaffold136, whole genome shotgun sequence.
GCCCAAUUAGCUCAGUGGUUAGAGCGGUUCCCUGUUAAGGAAAAGGUCACAAGUUCGAAUCUUGUAUUGGGCG